CCUACGGGAGGCAGCAGUGGGGAAUAUUGGACAAUGGGCGAAAGCCUGAUCCAGCCAUGCCGCGUGUGUGAAGAAGGCCUUCGGGUUGUAAAGCACUUUCAGUGGGGAAGAAAGCCUUGGGGCUAAUACCCUCGAGGAAGGACAUCACCCACAGAAGAAGCACCGGCUAACUCCGUGCCAGCAGCCGCGGUAAUACGGAGGGUGCGAGCGUUAAUCGGAAUUACUGGGCGUAAAGCGCGCGUAGGCGGUCUGAUAAGCCGGUUGUGAAAGCCCCGGGCUCAACCUGGGAACGGCAUCCGGAACUGUCAGGCUAGAGUGCAGGAGAGGAAGGUAGAAUUCCCGGUGUAGCGGUGAAAGGCGUAGAGAUCGGGAGGAAUACCAGUGGCGAAGGCGGCCUUCUGGACUGACACUGACGCUGAGGUGCGAAAGCGUGGGUAGCAAACAGGAUUAGAUACCCUGGUAGUC
rnacentral:rRNA from 1 species